UACGUAGGGUGCAAGCGUUGUCCGGAAUUAUUGGGCGUAAAGAGCUCGUAGGCGGUUUGUCGCGUCUGUCGUGAAAGCUUGGGGCUUAACCCCAAGUCUGCGGUGGAUACGGGCAGACUAGAGGCAGGUAGGGGAGAACGGAAUUCCUGGUGUAGCGGUGAAAUGCGCAGAUAUCAGGAGGAACACCGGUGGCGAAGGCGGUUCUCUGGGCCUGUACUGACGCUGAGGAGCGAAAGCGUGGGGAGCGAACAGG
rnacentral:rRNA from 1 species